UUCGCAAUGCCCGAAAGGGUGACGAAGCGACGCCGCGUGGGUGAGGAAGGCCCUCGGGUUGUAAAGCCCUGUCAGGAGUUAAGAAAUGUAAGUGCGCUAAUAUCGCAUUUAUUUGACAAAGGCCCCAAAGGAAGCCACGGCUAACUCUGUGCCAGCAGCCGCGGUAAUACAGAGGUGGCAAGCGUUGUUCGGAAUUAUUGGGCGUAAAGAGCACGUAGGUGGGUUUGUAAGUCAGAUAUGAAAGCCUUCUGUUCAACGGAAGAAUUGCAUCUGAAACUACAAGUCUUGAGUGUAGGAGGGGAGAAUGGAACUUCUGGUGGAGCGGUGAAAUGCGUAGAUAUCAGAAGGAACGCCGGCGGCGAAAGCGAUUCUCUGGCCUAUUACUGACACUCAGUGUGCGAAAGCUAGGGGAGCAAACGGGAUUAGAUACCCCGGUAGUCCUAGCCGUAAACGAUGGGCACUAAGUAGAGGGGUUUU
rnacentral:rRNA from 1 species